UCAGGGAAGGAUGGUACCCUAGACAGCCAUGGUUGUGGAGUUUGAGGAAGAGCACAGUUAUCAAUAGGCCCAAAUGCCAUCAGUAGUGAAGGAAGACAAAGACAGAGCCCACUGGGUCAGAUACGCUGCUCUCAAGGCUGGGUGAACACUGGUAAAGGACGCUGCACAAGGGAUUCCUAUAGCAGUAUAAUGAGCUUCUGAGCUGAGCAACAGAGAAACUAUCUGACUACCUUGAGAGUAAAUUGGAUGAUACAGAAUAAGUGAACUGAGUUAACAGAAGUUUGGCCAGAA